UCCGGAGGGGGCUAGCGUUGUUCGGAAUUACUGGGCGUAAGGCGCACGUAGGCGGACUGGAAAGUCAGAGGUGAAAUCCCAGGGCUCAACCUUGGAACUGCCUUUGAAACUCCCGGUCUUGAGGUCGAGAGAGGUGAGUGGAAUUCCGAGUGUAGAGGUGAAAUUCGUAGAUAUUCGGAGGAACACCAGUGGCGAAGGCGGCUCACUGGCUCGAUACUGACGCUGUGGUGCGAAAGCGUGGGGAGCAAACUGG
rnacentral:rRNA from 1 species